GUCCGGCUCCCCCACCCGGACAAACCGCCGAUGAGGGCAGGCCAAAGCCGCCGUCUCAUCGCCGCGAGGACGCCCGCGCUUCCCCAAGCGGGCCUGCGCCGCCGGCUUCCCCCCAGCCGGCGGCGCUUC
rnacentral:sRNA from 1 species